rnacentral:rRNA from 1 species
GAAUUUUGGACAAUGGGCGAAAGCCUGAUCCAGCAAUGCCGCGUGCAGGAUGAAGGCCUUCGGGUUGUAAACUGCUUUUGUACGGAACGAAAAGCUUUGGGUGAAUACCCUGGAGUCAUGACGGUACCGUAAGAAUAAGCACCGGCUAAUUACGUGCCCGCAGCCGAGGUAAUCCGUAGGGUGAAAGCGUUAAACGGAAUUACGGGGCGUAAAGCGGGCGCAAGCGGUUUUGUAAGACUGAUGUGAAAUCCCCGGGCUCAACCUGGGAACUGCCUUUGUGACUGCAAGGCUAGAGUACGGCAGAGGGGGGUGGAAUUCCGCGUGUAGCAGUGAAAUGCGUAGAUAUGCGGAGGAACACCGAUGGCGAAGGCAACCCCCUGGGCCUGUACUGACGCUCAUGCACGAAAGCGUGGGGAGCAAACA